ACUUCCGAGGCGAGAGAUCUCGUUAAACUCGUCGGGAAUAUCUUGGAAAAAAUCAGCAGCUCUAUUCGUAAUAUUUAUUUCGUUUGAGGGAAUAUGCUCGUGUGUUUGCUCGUGAAAAAUAAACGGGAAUGGACGGGCACGACGGUGCACGCGAAGCGCGUGUGAAAGUUCACAACGACCCUGACAGUUGAUCGGUGUUUUUUUGUGCUGGCGGUUAGUCGAAACGAGUCUCGGAGGAAACGUGCGUUCGCGUUGAAAUACGUGUUAACCAGAAAAAAUUGGCAAGUGGACGGACACGAGUGGUGUUUCAUUUCAUAAACGAUAAUAAUAACAAUGAUAAUAAUAAUACUGAAGAAAGGAUAACAACACGAACGCGGGAUUCGUUCGGGGUUCACUUUCCUUCUCUCGCGGACGCGAGCUUCUUUGUUUCGCCGCGCAAGACGGUGGUAGCGCUCGCGUCGGGCGAGUCGUAAAUCUAGCCCUAAGCGUGCGGGAAAAACCGCGCCUCGUGGUUCGACACUUGACAGUCGACGAAAAACAGGAGAUAAAUAAAACGGCAACGCUUCUCGGUGCGCCCGAAUUUUCUAUUUGUUUUAUCGUUCGGACGCGAGUUUCGCGGCUCUGGGUGACCGUUUGGCCGUUAAGCAAGUAUUUUUCAACGAUCCGAAAGCCGAAAGUGGACUCGAUGCCGUGCAGAAAAAAACGUAUCGUCGCUUCGAGGAUCACGAUUGUCGUCGGAUGUUCGGAAAUGAGGAGCGUGGCAAACAAAAUUUAGAGAAAACCUCCCCCAUCAAACUCGCAGCAAUACGAAAGUACAAUCAAACAUUUUUCGACAAUUCGUACAAGAGGAACCAAGCGUGGAUAAAAGCGGGAGAAAAAAUGCGGCUCCGUCGCAACCACGAGAUAUCGAUUCCGAGCAGUGGCGAGGCGUCGAGACACGCGGUCGUUUAUGCCUCAACGGCUAAUCGACGAACCUCGAUAUUUACCAGUUACAAAAACGCUUUCGUCGAUCAUGACGACGAAAUAGCUCUUAAAAUCGUUACCACAGAAAUAAACGUAAUCUCGAAUUGAUAAGAAAAAAAGUAAAUUAAAAAUCAAGCAUCCAAAUAAAAACAAGCGAACGCGAGUAACUUAGCAACAUUCUGAGAAUGUUGCUCCUCGAUAAACUAUGUAAAACAACCAAAUUUUCGGACAAGAAUAGCUAAGAAACCAAAAAGUCUUAUCUCCCUCCCAACAGCAGUGUGAAACCAUCGCGAGAUAGUAAGAAAAAAAGUUGCUGCAAGCGUACCGACGCAAGUGAGAAGUGAACGUUGCCAAAAAACAACCAUAACUAUUUUAUUCAACAAUAGAACGAAAAAAAAAAAAAAAAAAAAAGAAGCGCGCGAGCACCUCGAAAGAGAGGGAUCGGCGUGAAUGAACGAGAAAAAAAAGCAGAAAAUCGAUCGCCUGAAAGGCCACCAAGUGCCACAACCCGUUGAGAAUAUGAUCGUGAAAUUUAAUGCAGCAGUUCCAACACUCAACGAACGAAGAAUAAAAACAAAAUGGCGUCCAGUUAAAAUAGCCUAAAAAUCGUUUGAAAAAUAGAUCGAACGUCGUUCAAAACAGACGCACGAUUCUUAUCUGCCACGAGAGUCAAAUAAUUUUCAUAUUUAAAUAUAACAGAAGGAAAAGGAGAGCGAGAUUAAUUGGUGAGAGGAAAAAUAUAUUCAGCAUGGUCUCGACGUACAGCGUAGCGAAAGAGGGCGCCGUUGGUGUUGCAGUUGGAGUGGGCGCUAUGCAUCUUUUGCCACAUUGUGCCGCCCCUCACCAUUUAUCGCCCCAUCCACAAAACCCUAAUCACAAUCACGUCCACCCAAACAAUCAUCAGCCACCGCCACCGUUGAGCCCUCACGGACAUUUGACUCAAUUGAAUCAUGCUCAGCAUCAUCUUACCAUCAAUAUUACGCAUCAUCAACAACAGCAGCAGCAGCAGCAGCAGCAACAACAGCAACAACAACAACAUCAACAGCAGCAGCAGCAACAGCAGCAACAACAUCAACACCAACAUCAGCAAGCUCAAGCAAGGCAACAACAACAGAAUGAACAUCAAGCAGCAGCUCAACAACAACAACAGCAACAACAACAACAACAACAACAACAACCGCAGCAACAACAAGCCCCACCCCCACAAUAUCGCAUCGUUACGACUAACGCCAAACGUGAGACGGUCAACGGCCGACGUAAUCUUCCUGCCGGCAUGACACACUCGUUCCUGGACUUCCGGUGGACCCGUCAUGGAAAUUCAUUUUUUUUCCGUUCACCCGGAUCGGAGUUUCAUGUACCUGGACAAAAUUACGUUGCCCAACCAGGUGGGCAUGUGGGUGGAGGAGGGGGUGGUGUAGGAGUACCAGGAGGUAGAGGGCCGCCGUCCCUCGGAGGAAUACAAACUUUGGGUCAGUCGACGCCUGGUAUACAGCCGGGCGGUCCACAGAGCGGACAACAACAACCUCCGCAGGCACAAACACCAGGUGUGCAACAACAACAGCCACAAGGACCUGCGCCUACGACUACACCUCCUGUUCACACACCUUCGCCUCAAGAAAUGGGGAAACAGGUUCAUUUGCAGGCUCCGUCGCAGCACCAACAGGUCUACAUGUCUAAUCCAACGAGACCGGUCACCCAGGGUUAUUUCCAGCCCGCACCGAGGUCACAACCUUCACGAAAUCUCGGGCACAGAAAUAAUCAGGGUGGUGCAGGUACGCAGGUAGUUGGAAUGCCGGGUGGUGGUGGUGGUGGUCAACCCACCGCGUUGUAUCAACAUCAAGGUAUAGCGGUGCCGCAGGGUACGCCGAUGUACGAUAUUCGUACCUUGCAACAAGUGUCAAAUCUUCAUCCGACAGGGCAUCAACAACAAAUGUACCCUCCUCCCAGCAUCCUGUCACUGUUUCCUGCUGCACAGCAGAGACACCAGGCACAUCAGGGACAACCUUUUUAUCAGUCUUACACACCCCACGCUAUCGUCCAGACGCCAAAUAUGUAUCCAUAUGCGCCAGGACAAGGAAAUCCAAAUCCAUAUUUUUACCAACAACCUCAACCUGCAACACCGCUAAAUAUUAGUAGAGCCAGUGCUAAUGCAGUUAGCGGGGGAGCUCAACACGUAGGAGGACCGCUGGCCGGUGCCCAAGGAGCCGGUGGUGUACCUCAAGGUGCUCUUCAGCAACCUACACAGCCGCCACAGCCUAUACCCUCGAUGGCAAUACCUCUCGCUCCAACCGAAGUAUACACCGGUCACAAUGGUGGUACGUCGAGUGCGAACCUUAGCUCAUCGAGAUUAUCGACUGGUCCGAGAUCCCACGCUAUCAUGGAUAUCCGCGAUCCAAACACCGGUGACAACAUAGCCGCUGAUAUAUACGGCAAUGCAUCGAGUGUAAGUGGUGCAUCCAGUAAUCGUGAGACUCCUCAACCGCAGAAUCCAGAAUUGGUAGCGGAAUUUGCGGCUAGAGUCGCGAAAGCGGCUAGCGAAGAAUCGGAGACGAGCUUCGCAUCAUCGUCGUUAGGACCGUCAACUUCGACGUCGUCGACGACGAUAGCGUCGGCAACGGCGACGUCAGCAGCUCCAGUGGCGGCGACAGCGACGAGUGCGCCGGUACCUCCGUCGGGUGUGACGAACGUUGUUACGGAGAACGUACCGUCAGCGACGCAAAUUACCCAAGUAGCAAGUACAACGAGUAUGAAAAUAACGUCGAAUCCCAGUAAGGAAUCACCGAUCCAGUGCAACAGCGGUACAUCGACGACGACGACGACGGCGAUAAUGACGCCUGCAACAACGCAGUCUCAAAAUUCGACGAUCUCGGCGAGCCCGCUGCAACAACAAAUUUCGGAGGGCUGCACGCUCCCGAAAACAGAUUCGAAACCUUUGCAACUUCCCGCUCAAGAAUUUUGGCCCCGUGGCGAGGCGAAACAGUCGAAUGCCGGGCAACAACAGCAACCAAUUGCCGCUGUCAUUGACGAACAAAAGCUCAAUGUCGCAUCAACCAAUCCAAUUGUUCUUGCGAACAAAGAGCUUGUCUCGUCUCCGCAAAUCGAUCCUGUCGCUCCUGUGGCUUCGACAAUUGCACAGUCGAGCAUAGAACUUAAAGAGCCCGCUAAAAGCGCUUCUAAGCCUCCGACCGCGGCAUCAAUCGUCUCGAACACAUCGAGCGCUACACCGAACAUUGCCACUAAUGUUACCGACGUACCGUUACACUCCUCGAACACUGCCACUCAAGUUUCACUUGCUUCCGCAAAUCCUAACAUCCCAUCGGCUCCUCCCUCUGCCCCCGCGGCAGCAACACCUAACGCUGCUCCUGUCUCUGUACAACCCGCGCAAGGAGGCUCGAGCUUUCUUGGACCAAUUCCGAGUCGUCCACCGCGUUUCCCUUUCCCCGGUCCUUCCAUAGACUCCUCAUCUUUUCCCACUCUUGUUAGUCCCAACACGUACUCACCACCACGACGAAAAAACCACAAUCAACAACAAGCCGGCCAAACCAAUGCCACCGCUACCGCCCCAACUUCCGGUGCUGAACUUCCACCCUCUGGUAAAGAACCUCAGAAAGAAAGAAAAAUUAGCGAUCGUAGCAGCUCUGCUACCUCCAGAGGUACCACACCGACACCUUCUCACAAUCAGGCCGAACAGCAUCAACGAUCCAACGGCGAAACUGCUCUCGAUAAGACUGACGUCGCUACCGAUAAUAAGGCUGAUCAUCAUCAAAAAACUGCUGAUGGUAAAGCCAUGCAGAAGCAGAAGAAUAAAAACAAGUCGAAACACAAGGAUCUUAAUCGGAAAGGAGCGGAGAAAGAGGGAACGGACAUGGACGCCUUCGUGAAUCCGGCGGCAGGUUCAAAGCCGGAAGGAAAGACGCAACAAGACAACAGAAGUCAGGCUCAAGCUGUCCCGGCGCAAUUGUCGAGCAAAGAUGAGAAUGUUAUUGUGGAUUCAUGUAACGUUCGUGAGAGUCCGAAAAUCGUGAAAGAUCGCGAAAACAAUGAAACCAAGAUCGAGACGAGUGCCGAGAUCGAUAUUGGGAAAGGGCAGAAAACGAAAAACGUCACGAAGCUCGAGGCAACUAGGGAAAAUGUUGGUGCUACGCCAUCAUCGCUCGUUACUGCACAAGUGUUAAACACCGAUGAACAACAGGAAUCAACGGCACAAAAUAAUAAGGAAACGCUCGUUAAAGAAACGACGCCGACGAUCGAGGAGAGCGAUAAUACGACUCGGGGAAUAUGCGAUUUGCCGACAAAGACGAAUGACAUCGUUGAUCAUACCAAGGUCCCUGUCAAAGACGAGAUCGACGUUGAAACGAUAGUCGCACAGAAAAAUGAGGAAAAUGCUAAAGUUUCGGCUCUGCAUGCAACCUCCAAUGAGACCACUGAAUCUGAAACUCCUGUUAUCGAGAAACAGGACGAGGACGAAGUCCCGAGUGAAAAUGAUGUUGUUAGUACCGCACCUAAAGCUCCACCUCGAUUGAAAUAUCCAUACGAUGAUAAUCAAUGGAGUCCGAUAAACGUCACUGGAAAGCGAGAAUAUGGACGUGAAUUUCUUAUGAGACUGCAAAACGAUCCGAAAAGUCGGGUGCGACCGAGUAAUCUACCGGAAAUGGAUGUUGUACUCAAAGAGUGCAUAAAGAGCCGGAGUACCGAAUUCAGGCCGUUCAAGGACUCGAACGCGGGCCGCCACGACUCGUUGCUGCCUAUAUUCGCCAAGACGGGUGGUUACAACGCCAAACCGCCAGUGUUAACGAAAAAGAGUUAUCAAGGCAAGUCUAAACCGACGAAACCCAAUGUGAUUCACUUGUCGUUAUCGCUUCGCGAAGACGUUAAACUUCGCGAAACGGAAAACGCGUGGCGACCGGCACGCCUCAAGCCCCAAGCUCUCGAGGAGGAUGCCAAAACAAUAGCACUUUAUAAAAAAGUACGGAGCGUAUUGAACAAACUGACACCACAGAAAUUCGAUACUCUUGUGUCGCAAGUCAGGGCAUUAGAAAUCGAUACGCAACAAAAGUUACAAGGUGUCAUUGAUUUGGUCUUCGAAAAGGCUGUUGAUGAACCGAACUUCUCCGUCGCGUACGCACUUAUGUGCAGUGAACUUCGUCAAAUGACUGUUGUUUCUGACGGGAAAAAAUCUGAGCCGAGCGACGAUAGUCAGCCCAGCGAGCAGCCGGCUCAGCAGCAAGCGGCGGGAGAAGUCAAUUUCCGUAAAUUAAUCGUAGAACGUUGUCAAAAACAAUUCCAGAAAAACAAUGAUGACGAACAUGCGAGAAUAAGUAAAUUGAAGGAAAUUGAGGAAUGUACAGACCCGGAGAAAAAGAAAGAUCUCCAGACGACUCUCGAAGAGUAUGAUCGUCGACUUCGUGUCCGAUCAGUUGGCAACAUUAGAUUUAUCGGUGAACUUUUUAAGAAAGAAAUGCUUACGAUAAAGAUAAUGCAUUUCUGCAUAAAUCAUUUGUUGUCGAGUCCCGACGAAGAGAAUCUCGAAUGUUUGUGUAAAUUAUUGACGACAAUCGGUAAAGCUCUCGCGGAGCGACACAUCGCAGUGGGUAAUCCCGAAGCCCUUGAUCCGUAUUUCACUAAACUGUCGAAUUUCGUCGGAAAGAAGGGCAUACAACGAAAAAUAAGCUCGAGAAUACGUUUCAUGAUACAAGACGUGAUGGAUUUGAAAACCAAUAAUUGGAUACCGAGACGAGACGAGGCAAAACCCAAGACCAUGGAUCAAAUCGAGAAGGAGGCCGAGUGCGAACGUUCGGAAAUACAAUUAAACAAUACACCAAUGAACACGCCUAGGAAAGACGAUCGAAAUAGCGAUAGAAGACGAAAUCGUGGUGGAGGUGGAAUGGAAGAAGGUGGAUGGAGUCAACCUGUUGGCAAAACCAGACAACAGCCUUAUUCUGUAGAAGCAGCUAAAUUGAGUACGAAAGCUGUUGCGCCAAACGAGCUGCGACUAGGAAAUAGGAAUGCGUAUGCAUGGGGCGCACAAUCGGCAGCUGCGGUCAAAACGUUAACGCCCAAUAAAUAUGCGCUCCUUGAUAGCAGCAUGCCUGGUGAGAUGGACAAACGAACACCCCUGCAAGUUUCUGGGUCUAGAUCUACUGGACCCAGAGACUACGGUCGACCUGAUUACAAAUCUGGAUGGGAAAACAAAGGAUCGCGCUUGGGCAGUCAACACAUGAACAGUAGUUCGAGCGGACGAGACACACUCAUGGAGAGUGGACGAAGUCAGAGCAUAUCGAUGCCACCGCCAUCCAUGAAAAUGAAACCACAGACUACCUCGAUCGUCACUACAAGCAGCAGCGGUAGCGGCUUCAGUAGUAGUCGUAGUAAUAAACCUCGCAAAACUGAGGCGGAACUAGUCCGCGUCGUCAAAUCAAUUACCGAUGGUGCUGUUUGCGAGCCCAACAUCGAUGUUUUCAUCAAAACGACUUUGGAACAAUUUCAAGAUCUCUUUGACAGUUCGACAACCGAGCUGUUUGUUCGUGAAUCCAUCAAUGGAGUACUUGAGAGAACUGCCGCUGUGCGUCAACAUUUCUCUGAAUUAUUUGCUCACAUGGUCAAUCACAAUAUUCUCCCACUUUCGCUCAUCCAGACUGAAUUUGAAAAAGUUCUGGAAGUUGCGGACGACCUAGUCAUUGAUAUACCUAAAAUCUGGACUUACUUUGCCGAGCUACUGUCGAGUAUGGUAGUUUCGAAUGCCCAUCCCCUCGCCGAAAUGAAGACCACCGCAGCAAUUUUAAAAAUUACUGGCAAAGGUGGAAAAUUGAUGGGUGAAUUGCUCGCUAAACUUGCGAGAGAUCAAGGACCCAAAUGGACGGCGGAAAAAUGGGACCAAAGUGGACUCCAAUGGAGCGAUAUUACCGAUACGACGUUAGAGAACAUCGACGAUAUCAUAAAACAAUACAAAUUGGAGUUCCUUAACGGCGAGUGCAAAAGCUCGGACGUAACUUCUUCCGGUAGUCAAUUAACGAAUGAGCAGAUCCACGAUCACCUCGUGAAGCUUAUGCGUGAUAGCGAUUUCGACAAUAUUUGCAGCUGGAUACUGGCGAACGUUGGCAACAGAGUAACGCAACCGCAUUUUAUCAGAACCCUGAUGACGGCAAUUCUUACCGUUACUGUUGAGGAACGUCAUAAAGUAUGGAAGCUCAAUGAGAACACUUUCAAAAAUCUUCAAACUCUUAUAAAGCGUUUUAUCGAUACCGAUGCUGAUUUGGAAUUGCAAUGUCUCUUCGCUAUCCAGGCAUAUGUUCACAAAUUGGAGCAUCCACCGGGUUUGUUGUUCAAUAUAUUGACGUCGUUACAACAAAACGAUGUACUUUCGGACGAUGCAUUCCUCACGUGGGAAUCGGCCACGGGUGAGUUCCCUGGUCACGCUGUCGCGAUAAAAGGAUUAACGUCAUUUUUCACUGGAUUGCGAGAACCCGACAGUGACGAUGCGUGAGGUACGGACUAUUGGAGCCGUUCGAUGUGUGUAUAAUCGAUAAAGUUGGAUCGUCGCGAGGGACGAAAGCGAAACACUAUACUCGGCCAUUUAGCAAGGAAGAGAGAAAAAAAAAACAAACAAACAAAAGCGCAACGGUCAGCAACGAGGAGGGUGGCUGCUGGGGAAACCGGAAGUGAGAUAAAUCAUCGACUGAGUAACUAAGAUCUUCGUUUACUUAUUUCUUUCAUUUUGUUUUUCACGCGAAAUUAUUGCUCGUUGUUAAAAAACGUUUAUUUUCACACCGGCAAAUACGCUUUUCUACUACGAAAGACCGCGUGAUAUUUUACAAUAAAAACAAUUGAAUGAAUAAUGAAGAAAAAAAAAACUAAAUACGGUGAUAAUUAGUGCGUGCGACGCCAUUGUAGAAUUUUCGCCUCGUGGCGAUUCAAAUCUGUGGUGCAAACGCGUCAAGAUCCAACGACAAGAUCGAAAAUCGUUCGUUCGGUCCACGUGAAAAAAAUAAAUGAAUUUCAAUAAAAAAUGAUGAUCCUGUCCUCGCGAGACAGCGAUCGGGGACGAGAUGUGAUCUCGAGAUUUUUCUCGAACGACGAGAGCACAUACCACCUUUUUCAUGGAAUACACAUAAUACUCGAGUGUAUUCCUGUGCGUUGUGUUUCAAGUUUGAAACGAGACGUGAACGCGCCGUUAUGCGAACACUCUCCAGCCCCUUCGAUGAGGUGAAAAAUUAAAAAAAUGAAAAAAAAAAAUGAAUAAACAAUGCGAUAGAUAAUUAUACAACUAGGAUUAUUUAUAUGUGGGUAAAGACAUUGUUAAAAGUAAAGAAGAAAUGAAAAUUGUGGAUAAAGGAGAUAACGAUUUAAACAAAAAAGUUAUAACUGUACAUAUUAAAUAAUAGCGGUGUAGCGCCAGACGGAUGAGAAAAAUGAUGAGGAGAAAAAAAAGUAAGAAUAAGGUUGAUAAUACAAGAAAAAAAAACAAAAAAAAUACGAUUCGUGAGCGCGGCGGGGGUUGAUGAAAAAAAAAUGAAAAACGCGAGCCUCGUGAAUGAACGAAAAUUAAUGUUUCAUCUCUUUUAUUUUCUUUGUUAAAAAAAAAACAACAACAACAACAUUAAUAUUCAAUUAAAUUAUAUAAUUUUUUUCGUUCGCGGGUUAUGUAAAAUCACGGAUGCCGCUUCGUUUCGCAGCUCUGUCGAUUACAGGCAUGUAAUAUACAUAUACAUAUUCGCAAAACCCCCCAUGUGUAUAUGUAUAUCGAUGGUAUAAAUAUAUAUAAUAUAAAUAAAGGUAAUGUUAAGAACUAAA
rnacentral:misc_RNA from 1 species